rnacentral:rRNA from 1 species
UACAGGGGGUGCAAACGUUGCUCGGAAUCAUUGGGCGUAAAGCGUGCGCAGGCGGUUUUGUAAGCCAGAUGUGAAAUCCCCGGGCUUAACCUGGGAAUGGCAUUUGGGACUGCAAGGCUUGAGUGCGGCAGAGGAGACUGGAAUUCCUGGUGUAGCAGUGAAAUGCGUAGAUAUCAGGAGGAACACCGAUGGCGAAGGCAGGUCUCUGGGCUGACACUGACGCUCAUGCACGAAAGCGUGGGGAGCAAACAGG